rnacentral:tRNA from 1 species
GCUGCAUUAGCACAGUGGUACUGCACCUGCCUUGUAAGCAGGGGAUCGGGGGUUCGAGUCCCUCAUGCAGCA